rnacentral:lncRNA from 1 species
GGGCAGAGAGGUUGGAAACGGCAGAGGAGGAAAAGAAGAAAGAAAAGAAAAGAGGAAGGAAGAAAAAGAAGAAGAAAAGAGAAAAAGAGGAGGAGAAAAAGGAAGGAAAGUAGGUAGUUCAAGCUUGAUUCCCUUCUCCUUUCUCUAUAUUUCCUUCAAGAGGUAAAGGAAUGAUGUUAUGUUAAAUUUUUAGGGUUUAAACUUGUGGUAUAAAUUUCAGAUUUAAGAGGGUAAGAGUACAAACUGGAGCUCAAGUUUGUUGAUUAUUUAAUCUCCAACUUCAUUAAGGCAAGAAUACCAAUUUUUGGCAAAUCCUAGAUUUUAAAUUGGAUACUUGAGUAAGGAUUAAUUGUGAACAUGAUUAUGGUGAUGAUAUAUUAACUUGAAAAAAUGGAUCUAUGGGAUAAGAUGUAAAUUAGAUUGGUGCAAGUGGGAAUUCAAGUUUCACUAGAUUUGAAUAAAGAAUUGUUUUAAUGCUUGGGAUGUAGCUAAUUAUGAUAAUUUAAAAAUUAGUGAAAGGCUAGAAGGUAUAAUUUGUUUCAAUUGUGAAGGAAACUAAAGAAUAUAUUCAAGUGCCGAAAAGUCAAGUGCUAAUAUUUCAUAAUUAAAUGUGAAGAGAUACUUAGUAUGAGAUUUGUUAAAUUAGUUAUUUUACAUUACAUUUCAAGUGAUGACAUGAAAGCUUGACAAGGCUGGUCAAUUUGACCAGAUCGUUAUCCAUAGAUUUGUGAGUGGAGAAUCUACUUUUCCAAAAAGAAUAUUUUCUUUUUAUGUUAUAGAAGCAUAUUAAUUACAUGAAAUGUCUUAUUUUCAAGAAUUGGUAAAUGAGCAUGAUUGUUUUGAAAUUAUCAGAAAAUAAUUGAUGUAAUUAUCUUACUCUAGUGCACUGAGGGGCUACGGCUGUGUACUAGAGUCAUGUAUUUAACUCCUAUACAUUGAGGAGCUACAGCCGUGUGUAAGGGUAACUCUUAUUCACUGAGGGCUUACGAUCGUGGGUAAAGGUACUUAUUAUACACUGAGGGGCUACAGCCGUGUAUGAGGAUGAUUAUGUUGUUUCCAUCUUGUGCACUGAGAGGCUACGACCGUGUACAGAAUAUUGAUCCGACAGUUUAUGUGCAUAUGAUUUUAUAGCUUUUAGAUCAUUAGUAGAUGUUUUACAUGGGGUAUAUUUGAUGUGAGUUUUAAGUAUAUAGGGGAUUAUUAGCCUACAGCUUACAUUUCCCCGUUUACAGUUCAGCUUAUGGAUUUUAGAUUAAGAGUUCAGUUUAUUUAGUUCUAAGAAUAAAACUUCCAGCUUAUAAUAUUG